rnacentral:misc_RNA from 1 species
AGAAGAUCGGUUUACCUUCAAAACCAUCACUCAGAGGGAAUAAUUGGGUAGUUGAUGCUUCUCAUUGCCAAGGAUGUUCUUCUCAGUUCACUUUCAUCAAUCGCAAGCAUCAUUGCCGGAGGUGCGGGGGCAUUUUCUGCAAUAGCUGUACCCAGCAAAGAAUGGUGCUACGCGGACAAGGUGAUUCACCGGUGCGUAUUUGUGAACCGUGCAAAAGAUUAGAAGAGGCUGCACGAUUUGAACUGCGAUAUGGUCAAAAAAGUAGAGCAUCAAAAGGGAGCUCAAGAUUUGCAUCAAAGAGUGAGGAUGAAGUUUUAAAUCACCUUCUGGGUAAAGAAAGGACCUCAGAUGUUCUUUCCCAUGAUCAACAGUCAGCAAGCACGGCAUCAGGUUCAAAUGUUCUAGAUUUCUCUGGUAAAGAUGAGGCUGG